CUCUACACAUGUGUCCCUAGUCCAUAUCUUGCGAGCUUUUUUAAAAAAAAAUAUAUAUUACAUUUAUUAAAAUUCGUUCUUUCAAGUUGUGUUUCAGUUUCGCUUCUGAGAAAAGAGAACGACGACAGGAUAUAAAAUAAAGUAAAAGAAAGUAAAGUAAUCUCUAAUUAAAGUAAACCACUAGAUCUGAUUAAAGGAUUUUUGUGUUUCAGGACGAGGCAUGUGAAGGGUGGAAUAAUAACGCGUAUUUGCGUGGAAGAUCAUUUUUAAAUCCUACUCAUCGUUCUACUGGUCUGGCCCCGCCCACUCAGUCGCGUUCAUAACGUCCUGCUCACUUUUAUUAUCACGCACCCUUCCUGGACCAAGACGGGAAAUCCAUAAAUACUUUAUCAUCGAACUUUCACUUUCCAGAGCUCGCAGACUGGAAGAAGGUCGCCUGGUGAAGGUCCAGCCUGGUGAUGGCCGUGAGAGCCGUGGAGACGUGCAGGUCUCUUCAGGACGAUCUGCUGCUUCUGCUCCCGAGCAGGGAGACGAGGAGACCGCUCCGACCCGCGGGAGACGCGUCCUCACAACGCUUCAUGAAGCCCACACUGUCCCGCCAGACUGGUGACAGCUGCAGGUAUACUAUUACCAGGGUGAUAUCACAGUUAGACAGAAUAUUCAAGACCGGGACAGAACCUCUUCAACCCAGUUUAGAGAUGGACAACUGGAGUUUGGAGGAGUCUCAGCAGUUCAUUCUUAAAUGGGGAGAAGAAAUAACAAAUAUCCCAUAUUUCAAAAUGAAGGCGGCCAGCAGGAGGGCAUCAAGGUCCAAAGAAGAAGAUGUGAAGAACCACAGCCAGAAGGUCCGGCUGGAGAGGGCACAGCAGACCUUGUCUAAGUGGACAAGGGCCAACCUGGGCUCCAGGCCGGAGAACUCGGUGUGUCCAGGUGAGGACGUGAGCGCGGUGCUUCAGGACCUCCGCGAACGAUGGAAGUUGGGCCGACUGCGCAACCUUCUACCGGUGAUGGACGUCCUGAUGCAGAUGGCGUUACGGAGCCCAGGUUAAAUGUGAAACCGCGGCUCGCGCUCACACGGCCCGCUGCUAGAAGACCAUGCGAGUCUGCAGUCUCCACCCGAUGGAAUUGUUGGGCCCUCGUGUCGUGCAUUUAACUGCAAACUGUAACAUACUGUGGAUUGCUUCAUAUUUGUACAUUGAUGGGCGAAUGUAUAGUCGUGCGGCAACCUACCAUGGGAAAAAUUAAAAGGAAUAUUAAAAUGCAGCAAUAUUACAAUAUUUCAUUAUAUUUACAAAUAUUUAGGGGAAUAAAUCAAGCUGAAAAUAUGAUUCA
ensembl:lncRNA